rnacentral:rRNA from 1 species
GACGAACGCUGGCGGCGUGCUUAACACAUGCAAGUCGAACGGAAAGACCCUGCUUUUGUGGGGUGCUCGAGUGGCGAACGGGUGAGUAACACGUGAGUAACCUGCCCUUGACUUUGGGAUAACUUCAGGAAACUGGGGCUAAUACCGGAUAGGAGCUCCUGCUGCAUGGUGGGGGUUGGAAAGUUUCGGCGGUUGGGGAUGGACUCGCGGCUUAUUAGCUUGUUGGUGGGGUAGUGGCUUACCAAGGCUUUGACGGGUAGCCGGCCUGAGAGGGUGACCGGCCACAUUGGGACUGAGAUACGGCCCAGACUCCUACGGGAGGCAGCAGUGGGGAAUAUUGCACAAUGGGCGGAAGCCUGAUGCAGCAACGCCGCGUGCGGGAUGACGGCCUUCGGGUUGUAAACCGCUUUCGCCUGUGACGAAGCGUGAGUGACGGUAAUGGGUAAAGAAGCACCGGCUAACUACGUG